UGUAGCUCUGUUACUGCCAUACCAUGCACUUGCUGUUGCUGUCUGCAGGGACCCAGGUUUCUGCUGCUUUCACACCUGAGCUAAUAUGUCCACUGGGUGCUGCUCCGUGCUGCGUGGACCCAUCAGCUCAGGUACAGCUAUGGGAAAGCAGUGCAAGGGACCAUGCGAGUGACUUUGUGCCAGAAGGCAAGGAGGCAUCCUCAAAAUGCCAGCAAGGACACCUGUAGGGAAUACAGCGGUCCGACCAUGAGCAAGGGGUGCUUUACCCCUUCGGUGAGCACGUCAGUCUUCAGCCUGGCUCCCAGCGAGGAGGAUGGCAAGCUCUAUGCAGAAGCCUCUCUCCUGGAGAUGGGCACAGGUACCCGGG
rnacentral:lncRNA from 1 species